AACGAACGCUGGCGGCAGGCUUAACACAUGCAAGUCGAGCGGGCCCUUCGGGGUCAGCGGCGGACGGGUUAGUAACGCGUGGGAACGUGCCCUUUGCUUCGGAAUAGCCCUGGGAAACUGGGGGUAAUACCGGAUGUGCCCUGAGGGGGAAAGAUUUAUCGGCGAAGGAUUAGCCCGCGUUGGAUUAGGUAGUUGGUGGGGUAAUGGCCUACCAAGCCGACGAUCCAUAGCUGGUUUGAGAGGAUGAUCAGCAACACUGGGACUGAGACACGGCCCAGACUCCUACGGGAGGCAGCAGUGGGGAAUCUUAGACAAUGGGGGCAACCCUGAUCUAGCCAUGCCGCGUGAGUGAUGAAGGCCUUAGGGUUGUAAAGCUCUUUCAGCUGGGAAGAUAAUGACGGUACCAGCAGAAGAAGCCCCGGCUAACUCCGUGCCAGCCGCCGC
rnacentral:rRNA from 1 species